GCUCGAUAGCUUUAAAGUUAACUCAAAUUUGUAUGAAGUUGGAACGUAUGCCUACGUUUGUCGCUAGUGGAGCUGUUCCGAUUUCAUACAAAUUUGUGUUAACUUUUACGCUAUCGA
rnacentral:pre_miRNA from 9 species